AACGUAGGGGGCGAGCGUUGCCCGGAUUCACUGGGCGUAAAGCGGGUGUAGGCGGUCCGUUAAGUCGGGUGUGAAAUCUCCGAGCUCAACUCGGAAACUGCAUCCGAUACUGUCGGACUUGAGGACGGUAGAGGUCGGUGGAAUGACCAGUGUACCGGUGAAAUGGACAGAUAUUGGUCGGAACACCAGUGGCGAAGGCGGCCGACUGGGCCGUUCCUGACGCUGAGACCCGAAAGCCAGGGUAGCGAACCGG
rnacentral:rRNA from 1 species